AUUCCUACGGGAGGCAGCAGUGGGGAAUAUUGCGCAAUGGGCGAAAGCCUGACGCAGCGACGCCGCGUGGGGGAUGAAGGCCUUCGGGUUGUAAACCCCUUUCAGCAGGGACGAAGCGAAAGUGACGGUACCUGCAGAAGAAGCGCCGGCUAACUACGUGCCAGCAGCCGCGGUAAUAAU
rnacentral:rRNA from 1 species